GUCCUUUUUGUCUAGGAUGGCAGCAAAUAGUUAGUAGUUUAAAAAGCAAAGCCGCUCAUCAUGUGCAACUCUAAGAGCAUAAGCACCCAUUGGCACCAAAAGGAAUGGCUGGCAAGUAGAUGCCGUGGUUGUAUGGUUCACUUAUUGAAACAACCCUAGCAUGGUCUUCACGCAUCAGGGAGGGUGGGCAGCAAUAGCCAUGCUCGGCAUCCACUUGCUUGCUCCACACCAGCUUUUCAGGGCCUCCACUCCCAACACCUUCCUCCCUCCCUCCCCUGUAGGAUACAAAGAGAGAAACGCGGCUUCUACCGACUACUCUGCCCUGUGGCUAGUAGAAGCUAGACUUGGCGCAAGUUACCUGCUUCAUACUAGCUCUACCAAGGCGCCAUUCUAAGCCCCGGCCCAAGCAGGAGAGAGCUGCUUUUAGGCCCAUGUGCCAAGGAAAUGGUCCACUCUACUGGGGCCGUGCAUUAAAAGGGCAUGGACAUUCAGAAAAUAUUGAAUUGGAGUGUUUUUUUGAGUAUUUGGAAGAUAUUAGAUUUGGGAAUUUCUUUAGCACAUAAAAACACGGGAUUAGGGUUUGCCUGAGCAGACGACGCACAUGGGAAAGCGGGUUCUAGUUUUGGAAGUCGCGACGAGUGCGGCGGCGGCGACGACGCGGUUGACGGAGCACAGUGUUUGCGGGGUCACGAAUAUCGCAUUGCAGCGCUGUGCAGUGUUGUGGGGCGGGGCGAGGCACUCCCUUCGAGGGUUCGAUUGCAUCGGAGCUACUUUUCUCGCAUUUCAGAAUCUCCUGCCCAACACUACCGCUCUUUGAAGAUGACGCUGCUGACCUUGACCUCGUCUUCGUAAUCCUCGCGAGCUGAGUUUGCUGUGGGUGAAUUGAGUGGGAGAGUACUGAGCACCUGUCGUCGUGAAGCAUGAAUCUGCGUGUGACUAUGGUCCUGCGGAAGAUGCGACCUCCAGUUGGGUAAGGAGUAAAGUCAAUGGGCUAUAUCUGGGAGCUCUGAAAUUAUAAUGCAGUAUAGUUUCUAAGAACUGAAGUUUGCUCUGCGAGAAAUGCUCCCUCCUUUGAUGGCGAUGCCUUCUCCCUUACAGCAAAAAUAUGAUGUCUAGAAAGGUUUGUUUUUCGAUUGCUUAUCAGGUUCUCACCAAUUAUGUGGUAAGAUUCGGAAACUUUGGGAUGUGGCUGCGAAGUGGUGUUUUUUCGAUAUGAUAAUUACCACCACGGUAUCAUAUCGAAAUAUCAGAAACACCUCGAGAUUCACGUUUUUUCGAUAUGAUAAGAAACGGUAGGCAUUCAAGGAUGUGGGACGUUGCAUGAAGGAAUCUGGUGUCUGAUCGAGCUGAAGGAUGAGGAGCGGCGAUUUGUUUGACGGGAUGAAGGGCUCGUGAAGAGCGUGGCAGAAUGAGUAAUCACCCGAUCAGUCUCCGAGAGGAUUGCGGGGUUUGUAUGUACUUAUAGUUGCUCCUCGCGGCUGCAUUAAUUCGACAUUCUACGAGACUACAGUUAAGGACCUUAGGAUUUAGGAAAAGUAAGACGAAUAGCUUAUGCAUUGUACAUCAUUUCGUCUGGAGAUCAGAGCUCAACUAUGUCAAGGCUUCAACAACUACGAUACAGCGUACCCUGAAAAUACCAAUUGGUGAUAUAUCAUAAACAUCCCCUGAAAAUGAAAACAAUUUUGCACAAAUGAAAAUGUUCGAAGUUUUGUGAACCAAUCUACACGCUAUGGCAACAAUCUCAGUUUGCCAUUCUUCUUCCCUGAAAGAUCCACGAACGACAUCUGCUCGCCUUCGAGGUUCGGUCGCUCUAUUGAAGAAGGGCGAAAUACACAACAAAAAAUCAUCCGCCUCAACACCUACGCCUCUCAGCUAGGAGUUUAGGAGCUUUAAGCCGAAGCUUACCAGGUACCGUAUCGAAUCAAACGAGCAUGUCCAUGGCGAAAGACGACCGAAUCCAUGGCGUGGGCUCCAUGGCAGGCUUGCAAAAGGUUUCUGUCGGCGCUUCUGUACCACAACUCUGAACAGUUUGCAUGAAAGGCUAACAAACGAAGUCUCUCUUACCAGUUGAACAAUUUUCAUAAAGCAGACUCGGGGAGAGAAAGCUUUGAACACAAGUUGCAGUUGACGUUUGAUUCUGCAUCGAUUGAAACACGGUGGCCCUGCAAACCAUUGGAGGCUGAGACCAUCACUAGUUGCACAAGGUGUGCGCCAUAGCUUCCUCCCCCUUCCCUUACGGCAUGACCACACAUGGGUACCAUUUCGCCACUGUUUCUUUUCCUUUUUUUUUUUCUUUUCUUCUAACUAGCAGGUGCAAUGGAAUCAGCACCCAUGUGGAUAUGCUCAGUAACAUCACGCAGUUUGUCCAUUCUGCCAGCAACUAGUAGCUGGAAUGGCUCCCUGCAGUGGCAUGCAUGCUUGGCAGAAUUCUGGCAAGUUCCUUCAGCAAAUCCUGCAAGAAAGUCACAGGAAGAGUGCAUCGAAAAACACAACUCACCCUCCAGUGCGGGUUUUCUUAUUGCAAAUCUCGCAUGAAGCAUCUGCAUUCCCAAUUAUGGUGAUCCUCCAGGUUCUGGUCACAGAUCGGAAGGCAAAGGUUUAGCAAUUUUGUGUAGGAAUUCUUCUUUUCUGUUCACUCAAUCUGUUGCUGUGUGAGUGUGAAUGUGGGUUUAAUUUGUUUUGUGGAUUGGAAUGUGUGCAAUACAAUGUCUGUGUUUGUA